UGGGGUAGAGGGAGGCGCUCACUCAGAUGAGGGGUCCUGACGUCGUGUGUCUUUCAGCCUCUGUUUCUUUCCCUUAGGUUUCCCCUUCAUUUGACCGCUCAGUUGGAGGACAUUUACCACUUGCUCCAGAAGGUCCUGCACGAUCUACAGGAGCAUCACAGGCUGGUAGAAAACUUUGUCCACGUCAUAGAAACCGGCAGCCAGCUCCCAAGCGUCA